rnacentral:rRNA from 1 species
AGUGAACGCUGGCGGUAGGCCUAACACAUGCAAGUCGAACGGCAGCACAGUAAGAGCUUGCUCUUACGGGUGGCGAGUGGCGGACGGGUGAGGAAUACAUCGGAGUCUACUUUUUCGUGGGGGAUAACGUAGGGAAACUUACGCUAAUACCGCAUACGACGUACGGGUGAAAGCAGCGGAUCUUCGGACCUUGCGCGAUUGAAUGAGCCGAUGUCGGAUUAGCUAGUUGGCGGGGUAAAGGCCCACCAAGGCGACGAUCCGUAGCUGGUCUGAGAGGAUGAUCAGCCACACUGGAACUGAGACACGGUCCAGACUCCUACGGGAGGCAGCAGUGGGGAAUAUUGGACAAUGGGCGCAAGCCUGAUCCAGCCAUACCGCGUGGGUGAAGAAGGCCUUCGGGUUGUAAAGCCCUUUUGUUGGGAAAGAAAAGCAGCAGGUUAAUACCCCGCUGUUCUGACGGUACCCAAAGAAUAAGCACCGGCUAACUUCGUG